rnacentral:rRNA from 1 species
CUGGCGGCGUGCCUAACACAUGCAAGUCGCACGAGAAAGGGGCUUCGGCCCUGAGUAAAGUGGCGCACGGGUGAGUAACACGUGAAUGAUCUACCUCCGAGUGGGGAAUAACCUAGAGAAAUCUGGGCUAAUACCGCAUAACACUUACGAGUCAAAGCAGCAAUGCGCUUGGAGAGGAGUUCGCGGCAGAUUAGUUAGUUGGCGGGGUAAUGGCCCACCAAGACGAUGAUCUGUAUCCGGCCUGAGAGGGCGCACGGACACACUGGAACUGAAACACGGUCCAGACUCCUACGGGAGGCAGCAGUGGGGAAUUUUGCGCAAUGGGGGAAACCCUGACGCAGCAACGCCGCGUGGAGGAUGAAAUCCCUUGGGAUGUAAACUCCUUUCGAUCGGGAAGAUAAUGACGGUACCGAGAGAAGAAGCCCCGGCUAACUUCGUGCCAGCAGCCGCGGUAAUACGAGGGGGGCAAGCGUUGCUCGGAAUUAUUGGGCGUAAAGGGUGCGUANGCGGUUUGAUAAGUCUUGUGUGAAAUCUAUGGGCUCAACCCAUAGUCUGCACAGGAAACUGUCGGGCUUGAGUAUGGGAGAGGUGAGUGGAAUUUCCGGUGUANCGGUGAAAU